AGUGAACGCUGGCGGUAGGCCUAACACAUGCAAGUCGAACGGCAGCACAGUAAGAGCUUGCUCUUACGGGUGGCGAGUGGCGGACGGGUGAGGAAUACAUCGGAAUCUACUUUUUCGUGGGGGAUAACGUAGGGAAACUUACGCUAAUACCGCAUACGACCUACGGGUGAAAGCAGGGGAUCUUCGGACCUUGCGCGAUUGAAUGAGCCGAUGUCGGAUUAGCUAGUUGGCGGGGUAAAGGCCCACCAAGGCGACGAUCCGUAGCUGGUCUGAGAGAAUGAUCAGCCACACUGGAACUGAGACACGGUCCAGACUCCUACGGGAGGCAGCAGUGGGGAAUAUUGGACAAUGGGCGCAAGCCUGAUCCAGCAUACCGCGUGGGUGAAGAAGGCCUUCGGGUUGUAAAGCCCUUUUGUUGGGAAAGAAAAGCAGCAGGUUAAUACCCCGCUGUUCUGACGGUACCCAAAGAAUAAGCACCGGCUAACUUCGUG
rnacentral:rRNA from 1 species